GGCGGGGCUGCCGAGAGAGAAAACAAACAGCCAAGGGGACAAGCCCUGGAGGUGACAGGAGGUGUUCCGGAAGCAAAGCGCUAGACGCAACCUCAGCAAGAGCCAGCCCCUCCUCUGCAUUGUGGGGCAACAGAAUGGGCCCCUGGCCAUGCCCAGGGACACUGGCCAGCUGGGCUCUCCCCUCCGUGCUCCUCGCUCUGCUCCGGGGGACCCGCCCCGACUUAGACACAAGCCUGGCUCCUUCCUUUCCUGGACAGCAGGACUUCAAGGCACCCUUGCAUAAACCACUGGGCG